rnacentral:rRNA from 1 species
UGUGGAUUAAUUCGAUGCAACGCGAAAAACCUUACCACCCUUGACAUGUCCGGAAUCCUGCAGAGAUGCGGGAGUGCCCGAAAGGGAAUCGGAACACAGGUGCUGCAUGGCUGUCGUCAGCUCGCGUCGUGAGAUGUUGGGUUAAGUCCCGCAACGAGCGCAACCCUUAUCAUUAGUUGCUACGCAAGGGCACUCUAAUGAGACUGCCGGUGACAAACCGGAGGAAGUGGGGAUGACGUCAAGUCCUCAUGGCCCUUAUGGGUAGGGCUUCACACGUCAUACAAUGGUCGGUACAGAGGGUUGCCAAGCCGCGAGGUGGAGCCAAUCCCAGAAAGCCGAUCGUAGUCCGGAUUGUUCUCUGCAACUCGAGAGCAUGAAGUCGGAAUCGCUAGUAAUCGCGGAUCAGCAUGUCGCGGUGAAUACGUUCCCGGGUCUU